AUUGAACGCUGGCGGCAUGCUUUACACAUGCAAGUCGAACGGUAACAGGUUAAGCUGACGAGUGGCGAACGGGUGAGUAAUGCAUCGGAACGUGCCCGAUCGUGGGGGAUAACGCAGCGAAAGCUGCGCUAAUACCGCAUACGAUCUGAGGAUGAAAGCGGGGGACCGUAAGGCCUCGCGCGAUCGGAGCGGCCGAUGUCAGAUUAGGUAGUUGGUGGGGUAAAGGCCCACCAAGCCGACGAUCUGUAGCUGGUCUGAGAGGACGACCAGCCACACUGGGACUGAGACACGGCCCAGACUCCGACGGGAGGCAGCAGUGGGGAAUUUUGGACAAUGGGCGAAAGCCUGAUCCAGCAAUGCCACGUGCAGGAAGAAGGCCUUCGGGUUGUAAACUGCUUUUGUACGGAGCGAAAAGGUCCUUUCUAAUACAAGGGGCUCAUGACGGUACCGUAAGAAUAAGCACCGGCUAACUACGUGCCAGCCGCCGCCGUAA
rnacentral:rRNA from 1 species